rnacentral:rRNA from 1 species
AUUGAACGCUGGCGGCAGGCUUAACACAUGCAAGUCGAACGAGUGGCGGACGGGUGAGUAAUGUCUGGGAAUCUGCCUUAUGGAGGGGGAUAACUACGGGAAACUGUAGCUAAUACCGCAUACCAUCGGAUGUGCCCAGGUGGGAUUAGGUAGUUGGUGGGGUAAAGGCUCACCUAGCCGACGAUCUCUAGCUGGUCUGAGAGGAUGACCAGCCACACGGGGACUGAGACACGGCCCAGACGCCUACGGGAGGCAGCAGUGGGGAAUAUUGCACAAUGGGGGCAAGCCUGACGCAGCCAUGCCGAGUGUAUGAAGAAGGCCUUCGGGUUGUAAAGUUCUUUCGGUGACGAGGCGUUACCUGCAGAAGAAGCACCGGCUAACUCCGUGCCAGCCGCCGCGGUAAUUC